CAAUUUCAAUAAAAUAUUUCAAUUUUAUAUCCAAAAAAUAAAUUUAUUGUAACUCAUUAUUACUUAAAUAUAAACUACACCUUGAUUUGAUAUAUAUUAUAAUUUUAAUUAUUGAAAAUUAUUCUUCUUAUAAAAUAUUCUAUAACAACGGUAUAUAAAUUGAUAAACAAAUUUAAGUGAGGUACAUCGCGGAUUAUCGAUUACAAAACAAGUUCCUCUGAAUAGACUAAAAUACCGCCAAAUUUUUUAAGUUUAAAGAACAUAACUAUUAAUACUCAAGUAUUUAUAAAUUACAUUUUAAAUAAUAGGGUAUCUAAUCCUAGUUUAA
rnacentral:rRNA from 1 species